rnacentral:rRNA from 1 species
UACGUAGGGUGCAAGCGUUAUCCGGAAUUAUUGGGCGUAAAGAGCUCGUAGGCGGUUUGUCGCGUCUGCUGUGAAAACUGGGGGCUCAACCCCCAGCCUGCAGUGGGUAGGGGCGACUAGAGUGCGGUAGGGGAGAUUGGAAUUCCUGGUGUAGCGGUGGAAUGCGCAGAUAUCAGGAGGAACACCGAUGGCGAAGGCAGAUCUCUGGGCCGUAACUGACGCUGAGGAGCGAAAGCAUGGGGAGCGAACAGG